AUUAAUUAAAAACUCAUCCAAAUAACAUAAUACCCACCCCCAACUUAUAACCCAAAACCCUCAAAACACUUCGCCAUCUUCUCCGUUUCUCAUCCUCCGAAUUUUGGUCGAGUUUGGCUGAUUUCUGGCCCAAGUUGUUCUAUUUUCAAGUUGUUGUUCACGGAAAAUGUUCCUGCAAAUCCCAAACGAACUCAGCCCUCCACAUAAUUAAUUAAUUAAAUUUGAACUGAUGCAUUUUGAUGGCCGACACAAAUAGAAAAGCCACAUCAAGAUUACCAUUUCAAUCAGGGCUAUUAGCUAUUAAAUGGAAGUAGCCAUCUCUAAAUGACACUAUUACGGUAUUACCUUGCCACGAUAAAUUAGGACCAAUCCCAUCAAGUGCUUGUUUCAUAAAUCACUAGACCUAUCAUGAAAUUUGCAAUUAUUAACAAAAAUUCAAUGGAUUUGUUUAUAAUUGAAUUGAGGAUCAAAAUGGGUUGAUCAUUGAUGAACGAGGAUACACCAAAAUUUCGAAUGACA
rnacentral:lncRNA from 1 species